rnacentral:lncRNA from 1 species
UAUAUAAACCCAUGAAACCAUUGGUAUUAGAUGAUAGAAAAUUAGAGUUAAUUUUUACUCUUGAGAAAUAGGGUUUCCCCACUUUGUUUUGUUGAAAAGACAAUAAAAUAUGUUAAAGGUUCUCUACUCCCACGCUGGACAGAAGGCAUAUGGACAGAAGGAAUAAGAUCAUUCUUUCACAGCUAAGUUAGCAUGUGUGUUGCACUAUUAACGUGGACAGCAAGGCCACUGCAUGUGGUUACUGACAGCUUCAACAAAAACAGCAUGGGUGCCUCUUUCUUUCCUUUGUUUAUUACAUGCGUCUGUAAUUAUCUUGUAUAUAUGUUCUGCUGCCAUUACAGCAGUUGUAGGAAUUCAAAAUAUAUUUUUCACAUGGUAUCAAGAGCUAGGCCAAAACCCUAGUCCUAUUUUCUUCUGUUAUUUCUCUUUGACUGCUGUUCAUCACAAGCAGCGCGUUUUUUUUUUCCUUUCCAUUGAUAUUAACAAUGGCCGAUGAUCGAACUUCGAGCGAAAGCAAGCCUGAUGCUUCCAAUCCAUUGUUCAUUCAUCAUUCAGACCACCCAGCUAUGGUGCUGGUCUCGAAACCCCUUAAUGGGGACAACUAUUCCACCUGGUCCCGAGCCAUGAAGAUUUCCUUGAGUGCUAAAAACAAGAUUGUUUUUGUUGAUGGCACUGUUCCACAACCGUCAGCAAAAACCCAGCCGAACGAUCAUGCUGCAUGGAAGAGAUGCAACGACAUGAUUGUUGCCUGGAUCAUCAACUCAAUCGAUUCAGAUAUUUCAGACAGCAUUCUCUACAUGACUAGCGCUCAUGAGAUUUGGGACGAAUUGGAAGAGCGCUACUCCCAAAGCAAUGCUCCUCGGAUUUUUCAAUUGCAGCGGGAUAUUUCGUGUCUUUCUCAAGAUCAACUCUCUAUUGCAGCCUAUUAUACCAAGUUGAAGAGUCUGUGGGACGAGUUGUCUUCUUACAGUGAUUCAUCUUCAUGCACAUGCGGUGCUCAAAAUGAAAGGAACAGGUUGAUGCAGUUUCUUAUGGGACUCAAUGAUUCAUAUAGUGCUAUUCGAGGACAAAUCCUCUUGAUGAAUCCCUUGCCUACUGUACGUCAAGCUUACUCCUCAAUAUCACAAGAGGAGAAACAACGCUCUUUGAGCCUUUCUCGCACCACCACUGCAACAGCAGCCAUGGCAGUUCGCCAGGGCCACCACUCCAAGUCCGCAGGUUCCUCCACUCGAAAACCCAUGCAUUGUACGCAUUGCGAUCAAGAUUACCACACUAUUGAUACUUGCUACCAGUUGCAUGGGUACCCACCUGGGCAUCGUCUUCAUAAGACCAACAAAUCCAAUCCACGUGGUGGGAAUCGCUCCAAGCGAGACACUGGCUCUUCGUCAGCCAACAUAGUUUCCUCAGAAGGACCUUCUAUACAAGAAAUGCAGUCCGUGAUGUCAGGUUUAUCAGAUUCUCAGUUUCAGCAAAUUCUCAGUAUCAUGAAUGGGAAGGAUGUAUCCGCUACCCCUCAAGCCUCAAGCCAAUGCUACCACCCUUACCAAAGGUUUGUCAAAAAAUCAUUCGCAUCUCCAUCGAUGGAUCAUCGAUAGUGGUGCGACAGACCACAUCACCUCUUCACCGAAACUGCUUACUAAUGGUGUGAAAAAUGAUAAUAUGUUGCCAGUUUUAUUGCCAAGUGGAGAACAAGCACCUAUUGCAUUAACCGGAGAUUUAUCUUUGAAUUCUACCUUCUUCUUACUCCGAGAUGUGUUUGUGUGUGCCUACUUUUAAUGUAGAUUUGAUGUCAGUGAGUCGAAUUACUGGAGGAUUAAAUUGUUGUUCCGUCACUUUUUUUUCCACUUGGUGUAUUUUGCAGGAUCUGACCACGAAGAGAACGAUUGGUUUGGGUAAGCAGCGAGGAGGACUUUACUAUUUGGUGGCGUUGGCUCCUGUCCAAGAUGGCACUUCGAGACGUUUCUGUAACAUGGUCCUAUCACCUACAGAGUUGUGGCAUCGUCGUUUAGGUCAUUUGUCAUCAUCUAGAUUAGAUUUCAUGUCCAAAACUAUGUUACACUUUCCUUUCCAGUCAAAUAAUGCUUGUGAUGUUUGUCCAUUAGCCAAGCAAAGUCGUUUACCUUUUGGUGUUAGUACCAUUGCAACCCAGAAACCCUUUGCUUUAAUUCACUGUGAUAUUUGGGGUCCUUAUAAAAUUGCCUCCACUUGUGGCGCCAAAUAUUUUUUAACCAUAGUCGAUGAUUAUUCUCGUUUCACAUGGAUCUUUCUUAUGCAACACAAAAAUGAGACUCAACAUCUCCUUAAGAAUUUUUUCUCUUAUGUUCGUACUCAAUUUGAUACACUUGUUUGUCAAAUCCGUGUUGACAAUGGAGGUGAAUUUUUUUCCCUUCGUGAUUUUUUCCAAGAACACGGUGUCGUAUACCAACACUCUUGUGUUUAUACGCCCCAACAAAAUGGGGUUGUAGAACGCAAGCAUCGUCACAUUCUUGAGACAGCACGUAGUUUGCGUUUCCAAGCCCACCUACCACUUCGUUUUUGGGGUGAAUGUGUGCUCACGGCCGUCCACCUUAUUAAUCGUCUUCCUACCAAAAUUCUUUCCAACACUACACCUUUUGCACGUCUCUAUUCCAAAUCACCCACCUAUUCCCACCUACGAGUCUUUGGAUGUCUUGCCUAUGCCACCAACACUCACGUUUCUCAUAAGUUUGCUCCCCGUGCCCAUAAGUGUGUUUUUUCUAGGAUAUCCUGUUGGUCAAAAAGCCUAUAAGCUUUACGACCUCACCACCCAUAAGUUUAUUACCAGUCGUGAUGUCAUUUUUCCACGAACAUAUUUUCCCUUACCAAAAUCACUCCACCUCCGAUGACCAACUUCCCCUUCCCGGACCUGUCUUACCUCAACCCCUUCCUGACUACACUGUUCUCUCUACAACUCCUUCCGCGUCCACCAUUUCUCCCGUGUUACCUGUUGAGUCUUCUACUCGUCCACCUACAGAGUCCGAUGCUCCAACUCUCUCAGUCCCUGCUACUGCCAUAACAGCGCUCCCAGCGCCCGUACCCCCCGCACCUUCUGUGCCUGUGCUUCGUCGCUCUGACCGACGCUCUACUCCUCCAACUCGCUUCAGUGAUUAUGUUUGCCCUACUUUGCCUUCUUCCCAACCAAUCGAUUCUUACUCUUCGUCGCCAGGUCCUACCACCGGUACCAGGUAUCCUCUCGCUAAUUUCCUCACUUAUCAUCGUUUCUCACCCCAACAACAAUCUUUCCUUGCUUCUAUUAGUCAGCAGGUUGAACCCCACACUUAUGCUCAGGCUGCCCUUCAUCCCCAUUGGCAAGCUGCCAUGGACUCUGAAUUGCAUGCUUUGGAGGACACUAAUACUUGGACAGUCACUACUCUCCCUGCCGGGAAAACUCCCAUUGGUUGUCGUUGGGUGUAUAAGAUCAAACAUCGUUCUGAUGGUUCUAUUGAACGUUAUAAAGCUCGCCUCGUCGCCAAGGGUUACACUCAACUUGAAGGUGUUGAUUAUCACGAUACCUUCUCACCUACUGCUAAGAUGGUCACUGUUCGUUGUUUAUUAGCCCUAGCUGCUGCCCGUACUUGGUCUCUUCACCAACUUGAUGUCCACAACGCUUUUCUUCAUGGUGAUCUCCAUGAAGAACUCUAUAUGACCCUACCUCCUGGUCUUCGGCGACAGGGGGAGAAUCUCGUGUGUCGCCUUAAUAAAUCCCUUUAUGGCUUGAAGCAAGCUUCCCGGCAAUGGUUUGCAAAGUUUUCAGAAGCAAUUAAAUCCGCUGGUUAUAUUCAAUCAAAGGCAGAUUAUUCUUUAUUUACGAGGCAGCAAGGGCAAUCCUUUAUAGCCCUUCUGAUCUAUGUUGACGAUAUCUUAAUCACCGGCAAUGAUCCUGAAGGAAUUAAUGCUCUUAAAAGGUUUCUUCAUGGUCACUUCAAAAUCAAGGAUCUUGGUAACUUAAAGUACUUUCUAGGAAUAGAGGUUUCACAGUCAAAGAAAGGGAUUUUUAUUUCUCAGCGAAAAUACGCUUUAGAAAUUUUGAAAGAUAGUGGUCUUUUGGGAGCUCGCCCAGUGGAGUUUCCUAUGGAGCAGAAUACUAAACUCUCUAACACUGGUGAGUUGCUUAAAGAUCCGGCAAAGUAUAGAAGGUUGGUUGGUCGAUUGAUCUAUUUAACCAUUACAAGGCCGGACAUCACUUAUCCCGUGCAUGUGUUAAGUCGAUUCAUGCAUGAACCACGACAACCGCACAUGGAAGCAGCCCUCCGAAUUCUGAAAUACUUGAAGAGUACGCCUGGACAAGGUUUGUUUUUCUCUUCUCAAAACAACUUGAACUUAAGCGCAUAUUGCGAUUCAGAUUGGGCGGGAUGUCCUACAACACGAAGGUCAACUACAGGUUAUUGCGUUUUUUUGGGCUCUUCUUUGAUCUCUUGGAGGUCAAAGAGACAAAAGACCAUUUCUUUAUCAUCCGCAGAGGCCGAAUACAGAGCCAUGACUGGAACUUGUUGUGAACUGUCAUGGCUUCGAUAUCUUCUAAGGGAUUUAGGUUUGCUUCAUCCAAAACCGGUCUUGCUGCAUUGCGACAACAAAGCAGCGCUCCAUAUUGCUGCUAACCCAGUCUUUCAUGAACGAACUAGACAUAUAGAGAUUGAUUGUCAUUUUAUUCGAGACAAGAUACAAGAUGGUUCAGUCAUCACAAGGUACAUUCCUUCUUCAAACCAGCUUGCAGAUGUGUUCACAAAGGCAUUAGGAAAGGAGGCUUUCUCAUCCAUCAUAUGCAAGUUGGGAGUACUCGAUGUACACUCUCCAACUUGAGGGGGAGUGUUGAAAAGACAAUAAAAUAUGUUAAAGGUUCUCUACUCCCACGCUGGACAGAAGGCAUAUGGACAGAAGGAAUAAGAUCAUUCUUUCACAGCUAAGUUAGCAUGUGUGUUGCACUAUUAACGUGGACAGCAAGGCCACUGCAUGUGGUUACUGACAGCUUCAACAAAAACAGCAUGGGUGCCUCUUUCUUUCCUUUGUUUAUUACAUGCGUCUGUAAUUAUCUUGUAUAUAUGUUCUGCUGCCAUUACAGCAGUUGUAGGAAUUCAAAAUAUAUUUUUCACA